UACGUAGGCAGCAAGCGUUGUUCGGAGUUACUGGGCGUAAAGAGUGCGUAGGUGGUGCCCUAAGUCUGUUGUGAAAUCUCCCGGCUUAACUGGGAGGGUGCGGUGGAAACUGGGGUGCUUGAGUGUGGGAGAGGUAAGCGGAAUUCCUGGUGUAGCGGUGAAAUGCGUAGAUAUCAGGAGGAACACCGGUGGUGUAGACGGCUUACUGGACCGACAUUGACGCUGAACGGCGAAAGCUAGGGGAGCAAACGGG
rnacentral:rRNA from 1 species